GGCUCAGGCCAGGAGUCACCUGGAAUGGGGGGAGCUUGUGUGCCUGGGAAUCCCAGUGCUGGGAAAUCCUGCUUCCCUUCACGGAUGACCCCUUUUCUUGAUUCUUCUUCCUUCAGAAGAUGGUUUGACUAUGAAAUGUUGCCUAGGAAAAGCCCUCAUGCUUUCAGGUGGCAGUGUAGAAGCCAAGAACAAAAGUUGGCAGAAAUUAUUUUUCUUUCCGUGAGAAAAUGAAGAGAGUGUACACAUGACUAAGCACAGGAACCUGAAAUACCACAGAGAUGUUUGCUUUGAUGGGAGCUACCAGUCUACAUCCAUUAUACAUUGAUAAUACAACAAAUUCCAUAGCUUUUGGUGGAACAACCUCCUUAUUACAUUCGACAUCAGUGUUGUCCAUGCA